UAGAACAGAAGUCUGGCAUGGCAUGGCGUGGCAUGGAUUCUUUGCUCAGAAUCUCACAAAGCCAAAAUCAAGGUGUUGGUAGGGCUGCAUUCCUUUUUGGCGGCUAUUGGGAAGAAUCUGUAUCCAAGCUGUAUCCAAGAUUGACUGGGCAGUUCUUCUACUGGUCUUGCUCAGAUUCCCUCACAGAGCUGGUUCUACUGGAGCUGGAGAGUCUAAGAUGGUCUCACCAUCAUGUUUGGGACCUUGACAGGGAUGAUUGCAAAGGUUUAUGUAACAAUGCGAAGGAGGCAAAGCAAAUCGAUGGUGUUCCUUGGCUGUGCAUGGUAGGUC
rnacentral:lncRNA from 1 species